rnacentral:lncRNA from 1 species
UUGUAUUUGACUUGCAGAUUGGCAGCCUCUUAAUUUCCCCCAAUAACUGCAAAGAAUCCUGUAGCUUUUUUUUACAUAUAUAUUUAUUUAACACUCUCCAUUUACUAACCCUGGUUUCAAAAUAAAGAAGGGAAAACCCAAACCUUAUUUUUGCGACUGGGGGAAUGAGAAAAUUAUGGUCUUGGAAAGGAAACCGUAGGGUUCAGCACACCGAGUCAUCGGUGACCAGAACAGCUCUCAGAAAUACCUAUUCAUGCUGGCAACACAGUCUUUCAAGUCCUUUGAUAAUUUCUUGCCAAAAUUAAUAAUCAUCUGUUCCCAUGUAUAGAGCACUGAUGAACUUAACAAUUGUACAAUUUUAGGGACCUUUGAUUGCAACGGCUUUUACAAAUGGAUACCAUUGAAACGUUACACAUGGUUGGUUGCCAUCUCACUUGGAGAGUCUCUCUGGAUGUCCGGGCAAGACGGGGCGAAGUUUCUGACCGGGCCCACGUUUGGGUGAUCUCAUCAGACUUUGAGCACUACAUCAUCACCGAUAACGCAAACAAACUGGAGGUGGCACUCGACGGACUUAGGUUGUUUAAAAUCUCUCUCAUCAUCUCAUGAAUCUGCUGUACUAUAAAAACAACAGCUUUUAAAAGUAUGUAUAUAAAACCCAUUUCUUGUUCGUUUUAUUUUCUUGAUGGGUUCCCCCCCCUCUUUUUAAACCUCUCCAAACCACAUUUUUUCGUAGCAUUUUGACAUAGUCUCGUAGCCACGUAGUUCUAAUUCUUUGUGUAUCUAGCAAGAGCCUAACCAUAGUGUAACUGUUUAUAUUAAGGGGUUUCUUUCGUUUUUCUUUCCCACCUCCCCUCCUUCUCCCUUCUGUUUUACGUAGUCGUUGUUGCUUAAAGGAUGCUGAGAUGGUGACAGGAGUCUCAGCCGCUGGUACCGGCUCUGCCCCCGCCGAGGGUGGCGGGGGGAGCAGAGCCGGCGGCGGGCACGGUUUCGGGGUGGCCUUGCAGGGCGCGGGGGGCGCGGGUGAGCAGCAGGUUCUCUAGCCCUUCUUUUCGUUUGUGGCGUCUUCGUUAACCUAAUUCUAUCUAUUUUCGGCAAUAAGGCAAGGACUACAAACUUUUUGUGCGUCCUUUUUCUAUAAGUGCUUUUUUUUGUUGAAAGAGGUGAUAUAAGGUUUUUUGAAAUUGUGAAUUCUGAGAAAAAAAAAAUACUGUAAAUACAAUUCCAUUAACUACAUAUAAACUAUUAAGAAAGAGAAAUACAAACCUAUUUUUGUGAUGGAGUCAGCCUAAGGCAGUUUCUCUAUGAAAACGGAAGAAAAAAAAAAAGAAAGUUUUAGACUUUUUGACCAACUGCCGGAGCUGGCCCGCGGGAGUUAGGUGAUGCACACACUGGUCAGCUUGCUCCGUAGCCGUGGUAGGACCUUCCAGCUCUCCUAGCGUCAUACCAGCAUCUUCGCUAUCAGACGUGCACAGCUUACAAAGGAACAGUCUAGUGGUAUUUUUUUUAAUUUAAAACCUGCUUUUCCCAAGACUGAAAAAGAAGCUACGGUUUUCCUAUUUAAUGCAUUUACGGUUCAAAGCACACCUUUUUAUUUUUUUUUUUAAUUUUUUUUUUUUUAGUUGUUGUUUUAAACUAGAUCAACUUGCUGUCCAGUCAUUUCAGCGGCUCUGGGCACCCUGCGCAGCCCGGGCGGGGGCCAGGUCCCUCCUCCGCGCUCGCCUGCCGCAGGCAGAGCAGCUUUAAAGCUUGCAUGGUUACCUUUUUUAUCCAUUACUUUCUGUAUUAACAAAUUAGGAAAGCAACUUCGGUUUUGUUUUGUUUUUUUUUUUUGGGAAUACCUCAGUGCUACAAGUUUCACCCUAGAAGCAACGGAAGAUUUUAAUUUAUUGUAGUUGUAAACAGAAUUUUAAAAAAAAUAAAGUAUAAAACAUCAUUGCACUGUGACUGGUAGGGGAAAAACUGACAGUUUCCUAUUUGCACAUGUUUAAUAUUUGGCUGUUAUAUAUAUGGUCCUCUGUUGGGGGAGGAAACUUAUGAAGGAUAUUUUUUAAUUUAAUUUUUUUAAUAUUGGUAAAUAGGCCUGCAACAGCAAACUAGAAGUACAACAUGGUAGGUGGCAUUAAGAACAUACUGUAGUGUGGAUAUAUUUCUUCUUUUUUUAACGUAAUAUUGACAAGUUUUAUUAAUAUUUUUUUAAAUUGUUACGUUUAUAAAUUUGGUACUUUAGGUACAGCCAGUAUAAGACACUGAAUGCGACAUUUGUUAAAAAGAGCUGCUGCACUCCUAUUUUUGUAAAUUUUACUAACAAGUAGACUAACGUAGACAUUCAAUAGACAAGGUAGAGCAAGGCAUCUUUAACAAAAACAAGGCACCAUACUGCUAACCGAAAGGAGAAAACCUUGUUUUUCUUGUUUUUAAAAAAGAAUCAUGCUUUUUAUGUAAUAUUUUAGGUUUUUUUCUUAUUUCAGAACAACCAGGUUUAAGCAAAAUGCUGGACGCUUUUUAAAUAUUGAGACUUGAUCAAGUAAUAAAAUAAAUAAAACAAUUCUUUAAAAAAUAAAAACGAAAAAAAAACAACAAACCAAAUUCCCUGAAAUUAAUGUACCGUCAGGGAAUUUUUUAUUGAUAUUUUGUCAAUGUUGAUGAUGUACUGUACUACCAGUUGGUUUUCCUCUCCAUUCCCUGUCACCUCAUAGAAUAUUCUUUGUUGAUCAUUGUUGUAUGUUAAUAGUGUAUAAAAUGGCUAUCUUGUAAGAGUGCUGUCCUGAUGCUAGUGUAGUGAAUUUUCCCCCCCUCUUUCUCUCUUCCUCUUCUAGUACAUAAUGGUAGGUGUAUCGUAAUUAAGGUUAAAAAUUUAGAUGUAGUUAUUCAGAUUUAGGACCAGUAAGGAUAGAACUUUCUCUUAUUUAAGAAAAAAAUGCUAAUAAUUUUGGGAAGGUUUUCCUUUUUUUUUUCUUUCCUCUUUUCUUUGUUUUUUUUUCUCUUGUUUUUGUUUUCUUUUGCUGAUCUGAUGCGGUUUCAACUAACCAAAGGUCUCACAAUGUUAAAAAUGCUGGCAAACUCCUAAGGCAUUUGUAGAUCCCCACCCUUGACUUUGAAAAGGGGAUGUGCCAUACUACCUUAAAUGCUAAUGCUAGAUAUGCAAAACUGGAUUUUUUUAAUUUAUUUUUUAAAAGAGGGAGGCACGGUAUAUUAAAACGAUUUUACUAAGAGAAAAAAAAAUAUUUUUUUAAGAAUGCUCAGAAGAAAUUGCUAAUCUGUGUGAAUAUGUUUUAGAUGUUUAUAUACCUUUUGAGAAGUCCCAGUGGCCCAUAGCACAAAUGUCGUGGAAUCCGAUAUGUUUUGAUGUGGCUACCUAGACUAAGGUUCACGUUAGUCCCCCACUCAUCUAGAAGUCCAUUUCGAAGGGGUUUUUUUCUUUGUUCGUUUGUUUGGGGGUUUUUUGUAAAUUUUUCAGCACAAAGGUUCAGCUCCACCUUUGUUUUAGUCAAGCACAGCGAGUGAAGGAUCGUUCUGAGGGACGUUGCCCUUUUCUUUUUCCAAAUAUCUCAUACGGACCCCGAGUGACCAAAAAGAGAGGGAUUUCCAUCUAGGAGUGUGAACUGGCACGCGAAGGGCCGCCGGCGGGUUCACGCCCUGCCCGGAGCGCCUGGCACCGCGCCGGCCGUGCCGUGGGACGGGCCGCGUCCCAAACACGGGGGACGUUUUGAGAGGAGUUGUAACAAGCCACAGGAGCUCGGGUACCCUCCCCCCUUCAAAAGAAAAAAGUCCUUUGUGAUUGGCUUGAUUAAAAUGAAGCCUGAUCUGUCCUUUUUUUUUUUUUUUUUCUUCAUAAAUGUUCAUUUUAAGUUGAAUUUGUAGCUUGGACUUUAAGGUAGCAUGGCUCUCUUUGCUGUAAGUUUAUUUUUUUUCCAUUGUACAGCAGCUACUGCUGGUGAAUGUUACACAUCUUGCUAGGCUAGUUAAACCAUUGGGUAAUUGUUGGUAAUAACGACCUGAAAGGUGUUCGGAUUUCUUUUCUUCCCUUCUCUGAAGCCUAGGAUGCUGUUUUCAUCUGUAGUGUGAAUGAGGGCUAGCGACUCCAGCCACAGUUACCUUCCUGUUUCGUUUCUGCCAUUCACUCAAUGCAACAUAAUCAAUAAUAAAGCAAUAUAGUUUACUACAUUUUUACUGAAGGCCAGCCAUGGUUAUGUAUGAUAUUGCAUAUGAAACUGUUUACAAAAAAAAAAAAAAAAAACAAACAACACUAACUCAUAGCUGUCUUUUAUGCUAUGGAAAUGUCUCUUGGGUGGAAUUUUCUGAAUUAUUUUUUUUAGUGGUUUGGUUUGUUUUUUUAAAAUAGUUCAAACAGAAAACUGAAGUUAGUGUAGGGUGAAGAGACAGGAUGCAUCGAAGACACACCGGCAGAUCCCGGUCUGCGCACAGACACUGUAGAGUUUCAUACGUACAGAAUCCAAGUCAAACCCAUUGCCGUGUGCGAACACUACGUGAGGAGAUUCUGUAAGCUAAGCAAUACUUUAAUACUGUAAUAAAAAUUACCAAAAAAUUAAAAAAAAAAAAAAGUAGUUUGAGAAAGUAAAUCCUCGUGAUCGGUUCUCGGUUCCCAAACAGUCCGACUGUGUUGUCUCGAGAGAGCUCCGUGUCCGAGCAGGUGGAGCCCCGGCAGCCCGGGGGGAAGCAGGACUCGCCCGCGCCCAGCUCUCUGUUCUGUACAUACCCGUAACACCACGCGUGGGCUCGUGUGUCGCGUCGACCGUCGUAGGUAGCAAAUCCCCGUCAUUCUCUGUUGUACGAGGUCUGAACUCCAUCAGUACUAGGAUGCAAGUCUAAGCAUUUCAGGUGGUCAUAAAUGUACUUAAAUAAACUAUGGCACAGUGGCAGGCCUAGCCCUUCCUUUUAUACUUUAGUAUGAACUGAUGAGAACUUUGGUAGUGACUUUUUUUUUAUAUAUAUACAUAUAUAUAUGUAUCUAUAUAUAUCAAGCAUCUUUCAGGUCUCUGUGUAUGGCUUUCUAAAGCCCUGUUGUAAAAUACUAUGUGGAUGGGGGUCUCUCACAUCACAGAUGUGGAAAGUAUAAUUUUAUAUUUGUAUUUUCAAAUAAAUAAGUUUGUGAAAGGUUUCCAUCCUCUACUGUGGUCCAGAAAUCAAUGUGUUUGUCUGACGAAAAAAUACAAUAAACUGUUUUGAACAGAUCUGUGGAGUCUCUUUCAUUCAGGGGGGUGAAAUGUUUAGUCCUGGGAUGGGGGGGGGGGAGCCAGCGCAUCCCAUGCCCAUCCCUGGAGAAGGUGUCAGUAAGGGGGACGUGGCAG